AACCUUAUGGACCUGCGGGCGUAUACCUGCGGAAGGAUCAUUACCAAUUAUAUAUGUUAGUUUGCCUGUGGCUUCGGUCACUGGUAUUAACUAUUAUGUAAACGUUGAACUAGAUCAAUUGGUGUGGAUUGCUUGGGAAUGGACGAAGCGACAAGCCUCUUCCGGACAGGCAAGCCCCACACUGAUAACCUUUUUCAUAUCAUUUACUCGUACAUACUACAAACAACAAAAAAUCUUAUA
rnacentral:misc_RNA from 1 species